CCUACGGGGGGCAGCAGUGGGGAAUAUUGCACAAUGGGGGGAACCCUGAUGCAGCAACGCCGCGUGAAGGAAGAAGUAAUUCGUUAUGUAAACUUCUAUCGACAGGGAAGAAAGAAAUGACGGUACCUGAAUAAGAAGCCCCGGCUAAUUACGUGCCAGCAGCCGCGGUAAUACGUAAGGGGCAAGCGUUAUCCGGAUUUACUGGGUGUAAAGGGUGAGUAGGCGGCGAUGCAAGUCAUAUGUGAAAUUCCGGGGCUUAACUCCGGAGCUGCAUAAGAAACUGCGUUGCUUGAGUGCAGGAGAGG
rnacentral:rRNA from 1 species